rnacentral:rRNA from 1 species
GACGAACGCUGGCGGCGUGCUUAACACAUGCAAGUCGAACGAAGUGGCGAAAGGGUCAGUAACGCGUAAUCAACCUGCCCUUAAGAGGGAGACAACAGUUGGAAACGACUGCUAAUACCGCAUACUGAAGGAGGGGAUUGCGUCUGAUUCGCUAGUUGGAUGGGUAACGGCCCAUCAAGGCGAUGAUCAGUAGCCUGUCGUAGAGGAUGAACGGCCACAUUGGGCAUGCGACACGGCCCAGACUCCUACGGGAGGCAGCCGUGGGGAGUCUUCCGCAAUGGAAGAAAGUCUGACGGAGCAACGCCGCGUGAGUGAUGACGGCCUUCUGGUUGUAAAGCUCUGUUAUUCGGGACGCGGUACCGGAAUAGAAAGCCACGGCUAACUACGUGCCAGCCGCCGCGGUAAUUC